rnacentral:snoRNA from 1 species
GUGCCUCAGGGCUGAACUCGUCCCUGAUAUUUAAUCGUUCCCAUCAACUUCACAUUCUUAGGGAAGUUUUUCCUUUUUGUCUAAUUCAAGAUGGGCUAUGC